GACGAACCGUGCGAACGUUGUUCGGAAUCACUGGGCUUAAAGGGCGCGUAGGCGGGCCAUCAAGUCAGGGGUGAAAUCCUCCAGCUCAACUGGAGAACAGCUUUUGAUACUGGUGGCCUCGAGGGGGGUAGGGGCAUGUGGAACUUCCGGUGGAGCGGUGAAAUGCGUAGAUAUCUGGAGGAAUACCGGUGGCGAAGGCGGCAUCCUGGACCGACAUUGACGCUGAUGAGCGAAAGCUAGGGGAGCAAACGGG
rnacentral:rRNA from 1 species